CCAAAGUGUUAAAAUCCCAGAGUAUUCAUGACCAGAGUAGAUUUUAUACACUUUGGUGUUGAAAAGGCACUAAGUACAUUUUUUGGGGUGUACCAGAAACACUCUUGGGUGUUGUCUCUAAGUAUAAUGCUGGUGUAGAGUAAUUUCAGUGUAUAUUUUAGGAUGAUGGACUCCCUGAGUGUCCAACGGUUAGGUUUCGAUUCGUCAUUGGGUCGCUGCGCCUUCUCAUUGGUUGAAUCUAGAGACAUGUGACCGUUUGUCCUCUUCCACACUACGCGGCAAACUGUUUCGGCAGAGACGGUUGGUUGACUAGAGACGAGGAUCGAAUCAACGAAGCCAUUUUUGAACUUCACGGCAAUGUAACAGUGGAAGGACGACAACAAUGCUGUUCAAAGUGCAAUACCACGGAAAGAAGAAGUACAUUAACUUAAUGGAGACUCACAUUCAGAAUUUCUCAAAGAGGCUAAAGUGAAGUUCAGCAUCUCCACUGAGACAGACAUAUAUGUGCUGGAUGACACUGGAACAGAGGUCGAUGAAGAGGUCUUCACCGACAUCCUGGAGGAAAAAAACGGACAUCCUGUGGACGAUUGUUGAUGUUCUUUCAGUCUCUGACUCUCCUGUCCCAUCCUCAUGCAAUGACACCUUGUCACUAUCGUCACCCACAUCAGAGAGUGAUACUUCUCUGAUGUCUUCAAAAAGAUGGCCCAUCGAUAAUUCCUUUCUAAUGUCUCCAAAAAGACAGUGCACAGAUGACACCAUCUUGAAGUCCACACAAAGUCAGCAUAUUGAUGACAGUUCUUCACAGGCCAAAGAGCUUGUCAAGAGAGUUCUGGAACAAAAGCCUGGAGGGGAGAAGAUACUUAAAGAAUAUGCCAUGAGAGGAGAGAUUAAGGACCGGACACGCCGUGAACUUGUCAACAUCAUUGUUGCUGAUAUGGUG